CCCUACGGGGGGCAGCAGUGGGGGAUAUUGCACAAUGGGGGGAACCCUGAUGCAGCGACGCCGCGUGGGUGAAGGAGUGCUUCGGCAUGUAAAGCCCUAUCGGCAGGGAAGAAAAAAGACGGUACCUGACUAAGAAGCCCCGGCUAACUACGUGCCAGCAGCCGCGGUAAUACGUAGGGGGCAAGCGUUAUCCGGAUUUACUGGGUGUAAAGGGAGCGUAGACGGCAAUACAAGUCGGAAGUGAAAUACCCGGGCUCAACCUGGGAACUGCUUUGGAAACUGUAUGGC
rnacentral:rRNA from 1 species